CCUCUGCACACACACACACACACACACACACACACACACACACACACACACACCCUCCCGCCAGCUUUUCUCUCCAAAUGAAGCCAUCUCGUGUCAUUACAUGUGAAAUACGAGGGCAAAGCGCCAUAUUUCUUCACAUUAUGGCGAUUUCAAAAUGAUUUUUUAAAGAUCAAUGCGGGCACCCAGCCGCCCCCUCCCCUCCUCUCCCACCCCAGCUCUCCGAGGGUGACAGGCAGGCAUAUCCGAAACCAAACAGCAGGAAGAUCUGCUUUCUCCAGGGGACCCAAGUGCGGCGGAGACAAAAAAAAAAAUAAACCCCGAUGCCAAUCCUAAGUAGCGGCCGGACACUUGGGAAAGUCCAGAGAGCUACCUGGACUCGCCAGCCGGAAGCUGGGCGCCGAGUGGAUGAGUCACAGUUAAGGCGCAGCACCUGCUCUGAAUUUGCCAGCUGCAUGGAGUCCGCUGUUGGCUUUACCUGUAAUAAACAUACUCUUCAGGGAAAAGACUCUCCUGCCGUAAAUAAUCGUGCUCUGAAGCAGGGCGGGCUGCGGACAUGGCUUCUGUGGCAUAUAAAUUAGGGUCCGAAGGAGGUUCGGACUGUGGGCAGAGACUUUAUUUAUUUAUGGGGAAGUCACAGCACUGGGUUGUUCUUAAGACUCAGGCUGUGCAGGCGCUGAGCUCGCCUGCAGCCCUCCUGGCGGCCCUUCCCACUCUGGCUGUGUUGCUGCCUCCCUUUGCAGGAGAGCAGUCCAGAGGGCCACUGAGUUUAGGGAAGAAGUUGGAGGAAGAAGAGCGUUUGGGCUCAUGGGCUGUGCCCUACCAGGGUGGAGGGUCCCAGCAGGCAGGGUCUAGGCUGCGGGCUGCUGUCUGUCUGAGGAGCUGCCCCUUGCCCUGGGUGGUUCCUGGGUGCUGACCGAGGGGACCCAGACCUCUUUUCUGCCCCCAGAACUCAGCCUGCGCUCACACAGAAGCUGGAGAAUGGGAACGAUGUCUAAAUGACAGGCUUUGAGGUCUCCAUCUCCUCAGAGAGGGGACCCUGAAAGGAAAAGAAUGAACUGGCCCCUCAGCUCAUCUCCCUCCAGGUGGGGACUCCGGUGCAACCAAGAAAUGAGCCCCACCCAGGCGGGCUUUCUAGAAAACACUGUUGCUCCCAAUUGAAACUCAACUCCAGUUCAGACAAAUGACCAAAGGGUUGGCUGAGGGGGAGCCCCUGGUUUGGGUGUUCAGAAGGCCUUCCCCCCCUCAAAGAAAACCCCCCCAAAACCCUUAUUUUCUCUUGCAGACAAUGCUACCUACCCUGACCGAGGGAGGCAAACAGGAUUUCAGCCAGUGAUGUCCAGUUUCUAAAGAUGCCUAAUAGAGGGGUUCCUUGAGUGAGGGUCACCUUGUCCUGAGAGAGCAAACUGUACCCCACCCCACCCCCAAUCCUAAAGAGAAAGAAGGGAAACCCUGCUUUCCCUCGAAGCCUCUUGCCAUUCCCUGCACAGGAGCGCGCCUGAACACAGCUGGGCUGCUGUCUGGUGGCUCGGGGAAGAGCAGGCAGGGACAAGCUGCAGCCCUGCUCACACUGGGGCCCUGAGCGCAGAGGCAUGAGGCCGAGGUGGGGAACGCAGAGGCCAAGCCUGGCCUGGACCAGCUGGUGAGUGCCUAGCUUGAGGGGUGGCUUUUAGCAGGGUCCUUGUCAGUAAGAGAAAAUUUUAAACUAACGGGGAAAUAAACCAAAAAAAGAAAAGAAGAAGAAGAAAGUAAAAACAAAAAUAAUAAAGGGGAAAGAUUGUUUUUAAUUGAUAAGCUAAGCUGAAAUUUAUGCAUGCUGUGUUUGAAUAGAUGUGUCUAUCCUGUAUGUAUAUUUCAAAUCAAUAUUGAACCUAGUGUGCAAAUAUACUGUACUCCAUGCUGCAUAUAGAAUAUGUAAUAAGUAAAAUCUGCCCAACCAUAAUACCUGAUUGCUUAAGCAUUUGUAUGUAAGAUCUAGUGGUAUAUAUGUGGAUGUGUGAAUAACUCCUGUGAUGUAGAUUUACAGCUCUACUCAUAUAAGAAGAUCUAUGAUCCAAAAGCUUUUGUGGACGUUUUUGUAACCAUCACACCCCUAUGAAAAGGGCAAAAACUUGACUAUUUGUGUCCUUGAAUUGUAGCUAUAAAACAUUAGUGGGUUCGGAAGCUGCCAUUGAAAAUCUGCCUGUUGACUUGAUAGUCAAGCCAAGUAGAUACCGUCCGUAUUCUCCAACAAAUGCAUGUGGCUUAAAGCUGGAUUCUUUUACAACUUCCUUCUAAAAUAUUUCUCUGGAAGGUGAAGGAAAUGCCUCAGAUUGGUUCAGGGAGGUCAUGGAAUUUUGUGACUUUUUUGUCCGACCAUGAAAUCCUUUACUGCGUAUCUUUCCCAAAGCUGCGGGGGCAGCGUGCGUCGUGUGAUCCUUAUUUCAUGGUGGUGAUGGGCACCAGAUGAAGACACCAUUAGUUGUGCAUGAGCGUGUUCCACACAAAUGUGCCUCUGACCAGAAGAGAGAGCUGAGUCUAAUGGGAAAGCUCUCAGUAGCUGUGGAGGUCACACGAAAGCACUGCUGGGCACAACGAAAUCAGCAAAGUCCCCAAGUCUCUGUCCCCAAACACCCUGAGAUCUUUCUUCUGGCCCAGAAUCGGAGUCCAGGCCCCUCUGGGAAAGGAGGUGUGGAAACACUUGCUCCAGGGGGAGAAGACGAGGACCCCAGAACCCGCAGCCUUUCCACAAAACCGCCUCCAAAAUGAAUCGCAUGGAGUCUGCACACAUGAGUUCAAACCUCAGCGCUUCCACACCCUGCGAGUGGGGAUCUUCACUGUAAAGCAACGAAAUCUUCUGCUCAGCCUCCCUCCCCAAGCGCCAGAGGUGAAAGGAAGGACUGAGAGGUCAGCGGCCCAGGCAGAUCCCUGGACUCUCCUCUUCCCAACUCUCAGCCAUCAGGGAUCUGGAAGGUGGGGGGGGGGGGUGGCUGACUCUUUGGGAGGGAGCAUCCAGGAGGCCAAACGGGGUGGGCAGCAGGCGGGACAGAAAGGAGCUGAGCAGGUAGAAGGUUAUUACGAAAUUGCUUCCAUAAAACCUGUGGCUGUUGUAAAACUCUCUGCUUUCCAAAGACUUUAUUUCCUCCUUUCUCUCUAACAUCCCCCUUUUUUUCUUUUUUACAGCACUGUUCCUGGGAGGGGGUGGCCAAGGGACGCCAGGGAUGGAAGACAGUGAGGCUCCGAGUGGCUGGGCAGGUUUGUGAGAGCCCCAGGGAGAAGCAAGAACACAGUUGCCAUUCAACAACACAUCCAAAGAACUGGAGGCAGGACUCCAGGCAAAACCACUCUGGAGCUCGCUCGUCCUGGCCGCUCAGAUCCCAGGCACUUUUGCUGUCUUGCAGGAGCCCUGGCCGGAGGGCCCCUGGGCCCAAACCCAGACCUGGACAGGGCCUCCUGGAUGGGUGAUAUUCCUGCGUGGUUCAUCCACCCCCGUGAACGCAGCCGGAGGCCUCCGCAGAUAAAAAGACUUCUCAACUUCAAACUGUUACCAAGGUGAGGCUAUAUUCCAGGGUCGUCCAGGGUAGCCCUGAGAAGCCAAAUCCUCAAGCCGGACACCAAACCCCAGUUUCCAGGCUGGGACACAGACAGGAGAGUGGAGAGGAGUGCUGAGAAGUGACGGUGGGCGAGAGUGCGAGAAAGUUAGGAAGACUGGGAGCAGCCGGAGGAACGGAACGGACUGGAAGGGAAGGCCCGCUGCUGACCUGAACAGCCGCUGGGAAGUCUCGCUGCCAGAAGGUCCCAGGACCCGGGCCCGCAGAGGCGGAGCUGCCCCAGCCUGGGCCCUUGGCUUCCAGGCCCCACCGAUGCCCGCUACCGCCACCUCUGCCUCUCCAGACACCCGCGUCCUCACAGGUGCUCCCUCCCGCACACUCUCCACACGCGGCUGGCAGCCGACCUGGCCCCGCGGCGGC